GAGUUUGAUCCUGGCUCAGAACGAACGCUGGCGGCGCGUUUUAAGCAUGCAAGUCGAACGGUAGCAGGACUUCGGUUCUGUGAGAGUGGCGAACGGGUGAGUAACACGUAGGUGAUCUACCGCGAGGUUGGGGAUAGCUCAUGGAAACAUGGGGUAAUACCGAAUGAGCUUUCGUGACUAUGGUUAUGAAAGGAAAGGGGCUUUGGCCUCGCCUUGUGAUGAGCCUGCGGCUGAUUAGGUAGUUGGUGGGGUAACGGCCUACCAAGCCGACGAUCAGUAGCCGGCCUGAGAGGGUGACCGGCCACACUGGGACUGAGAUACGGCCCAGACUCCUACGGGAGGCAGCAGCUAAGAAUCUUCCGCAAUGGACGAAAGUCUGACGGAGCGACGCCGCGUGGGCGAAGAAGGCCGUGAGGUUGUAAAGCCCUUUUCUACUUGAGGAAUAAGUCCCAAAGGGAAUGCUGGGAUGAUGACGGUAGGGUAGGAAUAAGCCCCGGCUAAUUACGUGCCAGCAGCCGCGGUAACACGUAUGGGGCGAGCGUUGUUCGGAAUUAUUGGGCGUAAAGGGCGC
rnacentral:rRNA from 1 species